CGAAGGGAGCUAGCGUUGUUCGGAAUUACUGGGCGUAAAGGGCGUGUAGGCGGCUUCGAUAGUUGGGCGUGAAAUGCCUGGGCUCAACCCAGGAAUUGCGCUCAAUACUGUGAGGCUCGAGUGUGGGAGAGGAUAGUGGAAUUCCCAGUGUAGAGGUGAAAUUCGUAGAUAUUGGGAAGAACACCAGCGGCGAAGGCGGCUAUCUGGACCACAACUGACGCUGAGGCGCGAAAGCGUGGGGAGCAAACAGGAUUAGAUACCCUGGUAGUCCACGCCGUAAACUAUGUGUGCUUGACGUCGGAGGGCAUAGCCCGCCGGUGUCGCAGCUAACGCGGUAAGCACACCGCCUGGGGAGUACGGUCGCAAGAUUA
rnacentral:rRNA from 1 species